rnacentral:rRNA from 1 species
AGUGAACGCUGGCGGUAGGCCUAACACAUGCAAGUCGAACGGCAGCACAGUAAGAGCUUGCUCUUACGGGUGGCGAGUGGCGGACGGGUGAGGAAUACAUCGGAAUCUACUUUUUCGUGGGGGAUAACGUAGGGAAACUUACGCUAAUACCGCAUACGACCUACGGGUGAAAGCAGGGGAUCUUCGGACCUUGCGCGAUUGAAUGAGCCGAUGUCGGAUUAGCUAGUUGGCGGGGUAAAGGCCCACCAAGGCGACGAUCCGUAGCUGGUCUGAGAGGAUGGUCAGCCACACUGGACCUGAGACACGGUCCAGACUCCUACGGUAGGCAGCAGUGGGGAAUAUUGGACAAUGGGCGCAAGCCUGAUCCAGCCAUACCGCGUGGGUGAAGAAGGCCUUCGGGUUGUAAAGCCCUUUUGUUGGGAAAGAAAAGCAGCAGGUUAAUACCCCGCUGUUCUGACGGUACCCAAAGAAUAAGCACCGGCUAACUUCGUG